AACGAACGCUGGCGGCGUGGAUAAGACAUGCAAGUCGAACGGGUUUUCAUUUGUAGCAAUACAGGUGGGAAUCAGUGGCGCAAGGGUGCGUAACACGUGGGCAACCUGCCCUGGAGACUGGGAUAGCCCGCCGAAAGGCGGAUUAAUACCGGAUGCGGCUACCAAAGGACUCUCUGGGACGCUAAAGGUGGCGCAAGCUACCGCUCUUGGAUGGGCCCGCGGCCUAUCAGCUAGUUGGUGAGGUUACGGCUCACCGAGGCGAUGACGGGUAGCUGGUCUGAGAGGACGACCAGCCACACUGGAACUGAGACACGGUCCAGACACCUACGGGUGGCAGCAGUCGAGAAUUUUUCUCAAUGGGGCAACCCUGAAGGAGCGACGCCGCGUGGAGGAUGAAGGCUUUCGGGUUGUAAACUCCUGUCUAUUGGGAACAAGUUACACACGUUACUGCGUGGUAGUUGAUAGUACAGAAGAGGAAGAGACGGCUAACUCUGU
rnacentral:rRNA from 1 species